rnacentral:tRNA from 1 species
GCGCCUGUAGCUGGAUAGAGCAACGGAUUUCUAAUCCGUAGGUCGUAAGUUCAAGUCUUACCAGCGCGUACCA